rnacentral:pre_miRNA from 4 species
AAUUCAGUUGCAGUUCAAAUUGACUCUAGUAGGGAGUCCUUUUUAACUGAGCGACUCCCUAACGGAGUCAGAUUGAAUUACUUGCUGAGCUUAACAAC